UACAGAGGGGGCAAGCGUUGUUCGGAAUUACUGGGCGUAAAGGGCGCGUAGGUGGCCUUCUAAGUUGAACGUGAAAUCCCUGGGCUCAACCCAGGAACUGCGUCCAAGACUGGGAGGCUUGAAUCCGGGAGAGGGAUGCGGAAUUCCAGGUGUAGCGGUGAAAUGCGUAGAUAUCGAGAGGAACACCUGCGGCGAAGGCGGGUUGCUGGGCUGACACUGACGCUGACAGCGCGAAAGCUAGGGGAGCGAACGGG
rnacentral:rRNA from 1 species